rnacentral:lncRNA from 1 species
ACCUUAAUCAGGUAUUAAAUUUUCCUAAAAUAUAUUUCUGGGCCUCUACAUUUUUCCAUUAAUCUUCUACUUUUGUACCAACACUAUACCACUUUAAUUAUUACAGAUGUGUUGAAAUGUGUUUAAUAUGUAGUAGAACUGAACUAGCUCAAUCUAGAGUAUUCAAUAAAUACAAUAGAAAGUCAAUGCUUGAAGAGACAAUUAAGGGCACCUCACUGGCUUAAUUUAUUAGCUUGAAUGGCUGUUUGUCAACCUUAGUGUUCUGCGUUAGAGAAAAUGUGCCAAUCAUCACAGAUGUCUUUACAAUGAAUAUGAGUUCACCACUUUUAGUGAUUAGAUUUUAGAGAGUAACAUCCAAAACAGUGAGCUCCUCCUCUAACAGCAGAGGCAGUGCUUGAUUAAUUAUCACCUUGUGUGAUAAAUGUAAUAGAGACACUUGCAAAGUAUUAUAAAAUCUCUUUGUCCAGAAAGUCAUUUCUAGUCCAGAAGAAAAUAAAUUGCUUUUAAAUAAAUCUUCUGGGAUAGUCAGUGCACAUCUAACUAAUCAACCGGGGAAAAAACUUUAUACAGACACUUCAUUAUAUUACUCCCAAUAUCUCAAACCAAAUAAACCUUCUUCCUUCAACCAGGCCAUUCUCCACAAUGCCAUUAAUCACACCUUGCUCAUCUCUCCAUCUUUUCCAGGGGAGGCUCUGCUCUUCACUUUCAGCUAAGUUAUUGAAGGAUUACUUUGGUGUAGGUAGUUUUCUAAGAGCUUUGCCUGCAUCAACUCAUUUCUUCCUCACUGUGGCUCUAAAAAGUAACUACUUAUUAUUUAUUUUUAGAGAUGG